rnacentral:rRNA from 1 species
UGGGUAUAAUACCCGAUAGUCCUCGAAUGCUGGAAUGCAUCGAGUUCGAAAGCUCCGGUGCCCAAGGAUGGGUCUGCGGCCUAUCAGGUAGUAGUGGGUGUAGCGUACCUACUAGCCUACGACGGGUACGGGUUGUGAGAGCAAGAGCCCGGAGAUGGAUUCUGAGACACGAAUCCAGGCCCUACGGGGUGCAGCAGGCGCGAAAACUUUACAAUGCCGGCAACGGCGAUAAGGGAACCUCGAGUGCCAGGUUACAAAUCUGGCUGUCGUGAUGCCUAAAAAGCAUUGCAUAGCAAGGGCCGGGCAAGACCGGUGCCAGCCGCCGCGGUAACACCGGCGGCUCGAGUGGUAACCGUUAUUAUUGGGUCUAAAGGGUCUGUAGCCGGCCGGAUAAGUCUCUUGGGAAAUCUGGCGGCUUAACUGUCAGGCUUUCAGGAGAUACUGUCUGGCUCGAGGCCGGGAGAGGUGAGAGGUACUUCAGGGGUAUGGGUGAAAUCUUGUAAUCCUUGAAGGACCACCAGUGGCGAAGGCGUCUCACCAGAACGGACCUGACGGCAAGGGACGAAAGCUAGGGGCACGAACCGGAUUAGAUACCCGGGUAGUCCUAGCCGUAAACGAUACUCGCUAGGUGUCGGCCACGGUGCGACCGUGGUCGGUGCCGUAGGGAAGCCGUGAAGCGAGCCACCUGGGAAGUACGGCCGCAAGGCUGAAACUUAAAGGAAUUGGCGGGGGAGCACCACAACGGGUGGAGCUUGCGGUUUAAUUGGAUUCAACGCCGGAAAUCUUACCGGGACCGACAGCAUAUGAAGGCCAGGCUGAAGACUUUGCCGGAUUAGCUGAGAGGUGGUGCAUGGCCGUCGUCAGUUCGUACUGUGAAGCAUCCUGUUAAGUCAGGCAACGAGCGAGACCCCCGCCCACAGUUGCCAGCGUACUCUCCGGAGUGACGGGUACACUGUGGGGACCGCCGCUGCUAAAGCGGAGGAAGGAAUGGGCAACGGUAGGUCAGUAUGCCCCGAAUAUCCCGGGCUACACGCGAGCUACAAUGGUUGGUACAAUGGGUGUCUACCCCGAAAGGGGAUGGAAAUCUCCUAAAACCAAUCUUAGUUCGGAUUGAGGGCCGCAACUCGCCCUCAUGAAGCUGGAAUCCGUAGUAAUCGCGUUUCAACAGAACGCGGUGAAUACGCCCCUGCUCCUUGCACACACCGCCCGUCAAACCACCC